rnacentral:rRNA from 1 species
UACAGAGGUCCCAAGCGUUGUUCGGAUUCAUUGGGCGUAAAGGGUGCGUAGGCGGUGGGGUAAGUUGGAUGUGAAAUCUUGGGGCUUAACCUCAAAAUUGCAUUCAAUACUGCUCCGCUCGAGUUCUGUAGAGGAGAUUGGAAUUUACGGUGUAGCAGUGAAAUGCGUAGAUAUCGUAAGGAACGCCAGUGGCGAAAGCGAAUCCCUGGAAAAUACCUGACACUGAGGCACGAAAGCUAGGGGAGCAAACAGG